UGAACGCUGGCGGCAUGCUUUACACAUGCAAGUCGGACGGCAGCACAGAGAAGCUUGCUUCUUGGGUGGCGAGUGGCGAACGGGUGAGUAAUAUAUCGGAACGUACCGAGUAAUGGGGGAUAACUAAUCGAAAGAUUAGCUAAUACCGCAUAUUCUCUGAGGAGGAAAGCAGGGGACCUUCGGGCCUUGCGUUAUUCGAGCGGCCGAUAUCUGAUUAGCUAGUUGGUGGGGUAAAGGCCUACCAAGGCGACGAUCAGUAGCGGGUCUGAGAGGAUGAUCCGCCACACUGGGACUGAGACACGGCCCAGACUCCUACGGGAGGCAGCAGUGGGGAAUUUUGGACAAUGGGCGCAAGCCUGAUCCAGCCAUGCCGCGUGUCUGAAGAAGGCCUUCGGGUUGUAAAGGACUUUUGUCAGGGAAGAAAAGGCUGUUGCUAAUAUCGACAGCUGAUGACGGUACCUGAAGAAUAAGCACCGGCUAACUACGUGCCAGCAGCCGCGGUAAUACGUAGGGUGCGAGCGUUAAUCGGAAUUACUGGGCGUAAAGCGAGCGCAGACGGUUACUUAAGCAGGAUGUGAAA
rnacentral:rRNA from 1 species